AUUGAACGCUGGCGGCAGGCCUAACACAUGCAAGUCGAACGAGUGGCGGACGGGUGAGUAACGCGUGGUAACCUGCCUCAUAGCGGGGGAUAACUAUUGGAAACGAUAGCUAAUACCGCAUACUGUGAGAUGGACCUGCGUUGUAUUAGCUAGUUGGUGAGGUAAAGGCUCACCAAGGCGACGAUACAUAGCUGGGCUGAGAUGAUGACCAGCCACACUGGAACUGAGACACGGUCCAGACUCCUACGGGAGGCAGCAGUGGGGAAUAUGGCACAAGGGGCGCAAGCCUGAUGCAGCCAUGCCGCGUGUAUGAAGAAGGCCUUCGGGUUGUAAAGUACUUUCAGCGGGGAGGCGUUACCCGCAGAAGAAGCACCGGCUAACUCCGUGCCAGCAGCCGCGGUAAUUC
rnacentral:rRNA from 1 species